rnacentral:rRNA from 1 species
UUCCAGACUCCUACGGGAGGCAGCAGUGAGGAAUAUUGGUCAAUGGGCUUACGCCUGAACCAGCCAAGUCGCGUGAGGGAAGACUGACCUAUGGGUUGUAAACCUCUUUUGUCGGGGAGCAAAAGCCGGACGUGUCCGGCUGUGAGAGUACCCGAAGAAAAAGCAUCGGCUAACUCCGUGCCAGCAGCCGCGGUAAGACGGAGGAUGCGAGCGUUAUCCGGAUUUAUUGGGUUUAAAGGGUGCGUAGGCGGUCCGGAAGUCCGGCGGUAAAAGCCCGGGGCCCACCCCCGGCGAGCCGUUGAAACUGUCGGACUAGAGACGGCGAGGAGUACGCGGAAUGCGCGGUGUAGCGGUGAAAUGCAUAGAUAUCGCGCAGAACUCCGAUUGCGAAGGCAGCGUACCGGCUCCGGACUGACGCUGAGGCACGAAAGCGUGGGUAUCGAACAGGAUUAGAUACCCCGGUAC